AACGUCUGUCGCGAUGGCUCCUUAGGGAGCUUUCAUCUCCGUUUUUUUCUUUUCUUUUUCUUUACUAAGGUUUUAUUCUUAUAUUUGCCUCUCCCUACGCGAGGGAGACGAACUCUGAAUUAUUUCUUUGGUAACUCCACGUUCGUUGAACCUUUGAAACUUCGCGCGAGUCUGCUCGCCCCGGAAGACACGAGAGAACACGCCCAGCUCUAAAAGCACGACGCACGCAGCUCUUAGCAGGCACAAAGAUACCCACAUCAGGAAAAGGCAGUUUGAGGAUGAGAGAGAGCUCCACAUCUCCCUGAGAGGAUUCAGACAUAGAGGGGACGACACACAUCAAAGAAUCUGGAUGGGGCUGGCUAUGCUUUGACUAAGCCACACCCCUUCUCAACUUCCACCUCGAGGAGGUCCCCAAAGCCAACCCAAUGGCCAAACAACACGAGAACAAAUGGGCUAUGGCCGGGAAGAGGUCAGGGAGCAAGGGGGCCACGGGGAUCCGGGGCGUGGGACUCGGGCCCCGGCCUGAGUCUUAGGUAUCCGUAGCGCCCUCCUUCUUCCUCCUCUUCGCUGAAUACAGCUCACGGUAAGUACUGGUUCACACAGUUCGUUCUCGAGGUGCUCACUCUCUUUCUCUUCCUCCACAGGCAACGGCUGGGACACAAAAGCACAGUUAAUUCGGCUUGGUUUUGCUCUCACCUCUUCGCUGAUUGCAGCUCACAGUAAGUACUGGUUCACACAGUUCGUUCCUUGGGUGCUCACUCUCUUUCUCUUCCUCCACAGGCAACGGCUGGGACACAAAAGCACAGUUAAUUCGGCUUGGUUUUGCUCUCACCUCUUCGCUGAUUGCAGCUCACAGUAAGUACUGGUUCACACAGUUCGUUCCUUGGGUGCUCACUCGCUUUCUCUUUCUCCACAGGCAGCGGCGUAAGUACAGGUUUCCUCGGUCUCUCCUCGUGUUACCCACUCUCUCUCCUUUUCUCUCCACAGGUAUCAACUUGGACACAAAGCACAGUUACUCUGCUUUGGAUGGCUUUCACCUCUGGGCUGGACACAGCGUACCGUGCUAUCUCCGGAGAUCUGAAGCACGCUCACAACAUAUACUGUACUGAACUAGGCUAGGACCAGCAGUCUCCUUGUCCUCCCGCGACGAAGUGCGUGAAGGCGGGGGUUUAUCUGACAGGACACACGGCAAUACACAGCAGCCCACAGCAAUAUACAGCACCACGUCAAAAUUAUAGGUUUUCACAGCAUGAAGACUCACCCACCACACUCAGUGUACGAAAAGGACACCCGUCUUCCUUCACUUCGCUUGGUUCGGAUCUGGCGAUGGAAUAUGCGGCCUAGCUAGUGAUGUCGUCGUUGUGACUACUUCAAUAAGUAUUCCUUCGGCUCUCCCACCACGCUAUAUUAGGGGUAGGGCCGCCCUCCUCCUCCUGGAGAGAUCUACACAACGCCAGGUCAAUAUACAGGGCACUUUCGACUGGCUCUUAGUACUCACAUCAAUGCCGCUUCCAAUCCCCUUUUUCACGUCGUCUCAGUUCGCCGUAUAAUCCGUUCACUUCUCAACCUUUAAGGUUCGCGAUGUCUUCACAAUCAUACAAUUCCAGCCUGAGGGAGAGAGAGAGUUAGACAGCCGCCAGCAGCGCACCAAGACGGGCACAACACAGUGCUUCACACACACCAGAAAGAACGCUCAGACUGUGAAAUAACUUGGCCUUAAGUACUGCCUUGUCCAGCGUAUCCUCCAAUCACCAACCGCUGUCCCUAACUAGGCACAGGUGCAUCGAAUUCCCUGAUUUUCCUUCUUACGGCGCUACCGGAAGUUCCGGUGUUCUGUUUUUCCGGUCCGGGCGGAAACACUUCCGGGCGGAACCAAACUUCCCGAAUUUUGGUUCCGCCCCUAAAGAUCGUCACCUUGUGACAUUUACACUGAAUGACCUCCUAUGGUUUAUGAAAUUCAAUGAAAGUUUCCAAAGUAAUCUUUUGUGUGUGGUGAAUGGCUAUAAAUGAUGAUCCAGGAAAUUUAGCUAUUCGCUUCGGUGCUGUGGCUAACAGACCUCUGAGGGCUAAUAUAGCCUCUACUUUUCCUUUCAACUUAUUAUUUGACUGAAAAAAGAGUGCAGCUAUUAAAGAUUGGCUCAAGAUGCAAAAAAGGCUUCUUUGAGAAUGUAGAAUAAAUUUAAACGUCCUGGUCCUUUAAACCUCAAAUAAUAUAUGCCAUAUUUUAAAGAAAGGCCUAUUCAUGAAAUAUCCUGCCAGUUACUCUCUCACAUUCUCUGGACUAAAAAUGAGAAGUUGUUAACAAGGGGUCUCAAACUUCAGUUUCCUGGGGUUCAGUAGACAGGUGUUGUUCACCACCAGGAGGCAAGGUAUAAGUUAAUAAACAAAACAAACAAAAACAAAGUGUUUUUACAACCAUUGUGACACUGCCAUACUUUGAAGGUUGAGGCUAGAAGGGAUACAGCUAAGGCCAGAAGUGACUUUUUUUUUUUUUCCCGU
ensembl:lncRNA